UUCCUACGGGGGGCAGCAGUAGGGAAUAUUGCUCAAUGGGGGAAACCCUGAAGCAGCAACGCCGCGUGGAGGAUGAAGGUUUUCGGAUUGUAAACUUCUUUUAUCAGGGACGAAGGAUGUGACGGUACCUGAUGAAUAAGCUCCGGCUAACUACGUGCCAGCAGCCGCGGUAAUACGUAGGGAGCAAGCGUUAUCCGGAUUUACUGGGUGUAAAGGGCGCGUAGGCGGGAUGGCAAGUCAGAUGUGAAAUCCGGGGGCUCAACCCCUGAACUGCAUUUGAAACUGUCGUUCUUGAGUACUGGAGA
rnacentral:rRNA from 1 species